GCCGACUUAGCUCAGCUGGCAGAGCAUCUGAUUUGUAAUCAGAGGGUCGGAGGUUCGAAUCCUCUAGUCGGCACCA
rnacentral:tRNA from 14 species